UCCGGCUGGUGGUCUGAAUUGCCGUCGUUAAUGACAAUCGUUCCCUAGUAACGGCAGUCUCCGGCGGCUCCCGCCUCCUCGUCGGACAAUCGGCCGUCGUUUAGUCGUUAUAUCUCUUGGUUGUAUCCAUCCCGAAGACUAUACUCAACAAAUUUUGGAGGUGAUUACAAAUCGGCUGAAUCCACAGUAAGGGGGUCAAUGAACCAAGGCACUCAUGACUUCAUGAGGCAGAGCCCAAGUAUAAGUAAUCUGUAGAGGAUACAGGCAAAAAGUGAGAACCAUGUAGGUUGUGACCUGGUCAAUUUUGUAGUGCCAUGGUUAUCAAGAAUGUUUAUCCAGUGAAAGGGACAACCUGAUGAGCAUCUACCAAAGUGAAGGUUUAGGUUUAGGUUUAGGUCUGCCCCGCCAUACACAUGGAUUGAUGCAAUAGCACUGUUAGUGUACUGUGAUAUGGUUGAUGCUCUGCUCACUACUAAGCAGCAUGCUUGGUGAGAAUGGAGUCAGUCAACCAUGAAAUCAUCGCCCCCGCGAUUCCACACUCAUCUUCCAUGGUGGGAAUCUUCGAACAAUUUGAAGGCGACUCUCUUCUUGUCCUGUUGUGAUUAACGACGCCACAACAUGCUGCCCAGUAUCUUUCUGCAAUGUUUUAGGUGAAGUAUUUGGAGAUUGGUUUCUAUCUUGUCUGGAGUUUCAACAGCAAUGUGUCAAUUUCCGUUUUCCCUGUUUCUGGAAUUCUUUAUUUUUCAUCUCACGCCAUCAAAUGCUUACCUGUUCUGGUGAACAGACAAACAGAAGACUACAACAGAUUUUAGAAACCCCCAGAUCUCUAUGGGUACCCCAUGUUACAAGUGGAAUAGAGCAAUCAUCCAUGUAACCACAUAAAUGCACACAUUCAAUAAUUAAUUUAAUGAUAAUUAUCUUAUUUGAUUUACGAUAAAGCUUGCAGCUGCAAAACAGCCGAAUUUGGAACCUCUUUGUUAUCAAGUCAACUACUUGACUAAUUUGGUUGUGGUCGCUCCCCAUAAUUAUUCUUAUGUGAAUUUUUCUAA